CUAGCCCAGUCCACAAACUGCAUUCCACCAUAAACGUUGUUGGCAAAUCGCACACCAACUGUGAAAGCCAUUGCAAUAGGUGGAACCUGCUUUGCUAAGGGUGAUGCUUCUACCACACGUUCCAGCCCAUUAAUAAUUUGGUAGCGUGUGUUGGAUGAAACUGCAAGAAAAACACCCCAAAGAGCUGCACUUUUCACAAGAGG
rnacentral:misc_RNA from 1 species